UACGAAGGGGGCUAGCGUUGCUCGGAAUCACUGGGCGUAAAGCGCACGUAGGCGGCUUUCUAAGUCAGGGGUGAAAUCCUGGAGCUCAACUCCAGAACUGCCUUUGAUACUGGGAAGCUCGAGUCCGGAAGAGGUGAGUGGAACUCCGAGUGUAGAGGUGAAAUGCGCAGAUAUCGGGAGGAACACCAAUGGCGAAAGCAGGUAACUGGACUAUUACUGACACUCAACUGCGAAAGCUAGGGGAGCAAACAGG
rnacentral:rRNA from 1 species